rnacentral:rRNA from 2 species
CAACUUUCAGCAACGGAUCUCUUGGCUCUCGCAUCGAUGAAGAACGCAGCGAAAUGCGAUAAGUAAUGUGAAUUGCAGAAUUCAGUGAAUCAUCGAAUCUUUGAACGCACCUUGCGCUCUUUGGUAUUCCGAAGAGCAUGCCUGUUUGAGUGUCAUGG